rnacentral:rRNA from 1 species
GCCGCGAUAAUUUGAUCGUGCAAAGGUAGCAUAAUAAUUAGUUUUUUAAUUGGGAACUGGAAUGAAAGGUCGAACGAGAAAAAGACUGUCUCAAUUUAAGUUUAAUUAGAAUUUUAUUUUUAAGUUAAAAAGCUUAAAUAUUUUUAAAAGACGAGAAGACCCUAUAGAGUUUUAUAUUUUAGUAAUUUUUUAUUUAGUUUAAGAAUUUAAUUUUAGAAUUAAUUAUAAAAUAUUUGGUUGGGGUGAUUAAAAAAUUAAAUAAACUUUUUUUAUUUAUUAAACAUUGAUUUAUGAUUAAGUGAUCCAUUAUUAAUGAUUAUAAGAUUAAAUUACCUUAGGGAUAA